GGGGAGGCCGGCGGGGCCGGUUCGCCGCGGGCCGGGAGGCGAGGAGCCCGCGGCGCUCCCCAGGACGGUCGGAGCUGCCGAGGAGUUUGAUGCCCAAGUUAAACAGUGACCAGUAUGCUCAGCAGCAGAGGAAGGAAGGCGUCUACAGCAAAUUGGUUCUGUGGCUGUCAUGAGCAGAUUGUCCAGGCCCCAGACAUUGCCUUUUGUUCCACUCCAUUAUCUGAGAACAACUCUGACUUCAAAUCUGAAGGACUGGCCAGCACCAUGCGAACACCAGGAAGCUGUGCCGGGAUUUCACUGUGAUGGCAGCACACUGCUCUGCCUCAGGGUUGAUGGCUGUGUUCAGACCCCAGCAAUAAAUUCUGAAGAGCUGAGGUCCAAAACCAAAGUGUGACCAGGAACUAGAGUUUGCAAAGGCUGGCCACUGUCAGGAGUGUUCUGUGACGGAGGGUAGAAGAGGAAAUGAGAGACUAUCAGUGCCAGUUCUCAAACAGAAGAAUUGCCUGGAAGCCUUAUCUCCAUUCACCUUUUGCUCUGACUAAGGCAUAGUGGGAAACUGAAAAGACCAAUUCAGUUGACAAACAGAACUUGGAUCCUGCAAAGGACUCAUGUUUUUCUCCUGUCCAAUCUUUGAAAAAUCAGAAAAAAAGUUUUGCUCUUACUACCUUUAAUGCACCACCUUCCAUACCCUACUUCAGGAUACAUAUAUGUAAUCUUCUUCACUCAUACUGAGAAAAUGGUUGGAAAAGCCAAGAGCCUGCCUGAUGUAAUGAAGAAUCUCCCUUUGAUGGUGACCAUUUUUCAUUAUGAAAAGUUCUGGUUAUGCGUUCUGUCCCAUGGGCCUCAGCACAAAGAUGUACUGUACCACUAAGCAUAACUUUACUCCUCAUCUUACCCCAUGCUGUUAUUUUAUUUCAGUAUUUUUUCAUUGAUCCAUUAAAAUAGGAAAUACUUCUAAACAGUUGCUCUCAUUGAAUUCAAAUUCUCAGAAAAGUAGAUGAUUUUAGUUUUUGCAAUUAAAAUGUUUAAGAACAUAACCAAUUAAGUUAAAAAUAGUUACUCUUUAGAAAGCAUUUGGCACCCUAAAAGCUAAAUUUCUGUAGAAUUUUGCAUUGUACUUCACUGCUUGGUGCACAUCCAUGUGGACUAAUUGCACAAUGAAAUGUGGCCUCUAAGCAAUGGGUUACUUUACACAACAUUACCUGAAAUUAAUUUAAUUGUAUUAAUGCAGAAAUCAUGGCACUGCUUGAUAAUCCUUUUUCAUUUCUGCUACAUACAGGAGUUUAAGGAUAUUUCUAGUGUGAACACAAGUAUGUCCUUGAGCAAGGGUUCUUUGAGGAAUUGGGGUGGAGGACAGUCUCCUUUUGAUUGCUCCAUUUGUUUGUCCCUUCACUGAAGUUCAAGUUGAAGGCACACACACAACUGCACCUGACAAAGGACAUUUUGAAUUCCUUGGCCCUGCCAGAGGUAAUGGAAAGGAGCAGAGGAGCCCCAGGCCUGUCACAUAUAAGAAAUAUCUCCCUUGCCAAUAUUGUUAUUGUGCUGUAUUUCACCUCAGUUUCCCCCCUAAGAAGGGGAUGUUUUGUACACUUAACAAUACCAAACCGAAACAGAAGUGGGUUUAAUUGUGACCAUAGUUUUCCUGUCUCAGUGCAGUUUAAUGGCACUCAGAGCUGAAUUGUGUGCAGGAGCUGAAGCCACUGGAGUGGAAGCUGGAAAGAUGCGAUGGCAUAUGGGGGCCUGGAGAUGAACUCAGGGUAGGAAACUGGCGAGGCACAGGGGAAAAAUUGUUUCUUGUCUUGUAUCAAGGUCUAGAUCAGCCUGACCUCUCCAUUCCCUUCCUGCUGUCACCACAUUAGCACCAGCUUUGUCACUUAGAGCUGACCUGUGAGACGGUGUAGCCAUAGACUGAGAAUGAGUGAAUAAAAGUGUGGCACAGAACUAUGUGGGAAAGACAGUGAGGGGAUUGCCAGCCAUAUAAAUUUAAUAUAAAUUUAAUAUAAAUUUUUUUUUCCUUAGAAGUGAAAUUUGCACUUGUUGUGUUUUAUGGACUUGUAUUUGCCCAACAUACAACUGAGUUAGAUGUUGUAUAUAGUCCCUCAGGGAUUUUUUUCACAUAACCAAAGGAUUUUUACUUUGCAGAGAAUGUUAGCCUGGAAUGUGGCCAGGUCUGACCAUUCUGUGUAAAUUGUAGGUGUCUGAAGGGGAAAUGCCAUGCUUCAUUUGGGCUCCUUCUGCCAUGUCUUGUGGGGAGUGUUCUCUUCACUUGGUGAGGUCAGAGUGCUACUGCUGAAGGGAAAGCUCUAGUUAGGCACUUCUUAUAGUGUGGAGGGGUCACUCAAAGAAUAAUUGCCAUGAAAGAUUAAUACUGAAUUUUAAUUACUUGGAAUGGUGGUGACUCCUGUUCUGCAGCCACUGUUUCUUUCUCUGUGUGCAUCUGGUGCUAGAAAAUUUUAAGUUGCGCAAGAAAUACAGGUGAAUAAUUUGCUCUCAAAUGCAUUUUACAAUGCUUCACCUAAAAAUAAGUACUUCUAAACAAUGCAAAAAUGAACCAAAACCAAGAAAAAAUGUAUUUGGCUUUUUUCUGAUGAACAUGUUUUAUAUAAGCUUCCAGGUGUACAUACUAGUGCUGUGUACAUGCUGUGGAUUUAUUGUUGCUAUCCUGCUUAGCAAUAUGGUGAUAUUGGCUAGAGAAACUGCUUUUCUUGCAUUUUUUGCAUUAAUCUAUCUCUUUAAUGACUUUUUCUAACUUGCCAAAUUUUCUGUUUCCUUAGAAGGGCAGGAAUCUAACAGAAAAGUAAUUAUCUAUCACAAAUACUAUUUUUUCCUAAAUAAACAAUUAUAGUAGUUUCAGUAUUCAGUCCAGAAUCAGGGGCACAGUUUGAGGAUCAGGUAAUUUGGCAGAAUAGCAACAGAGUUUUAUUCCUCAGGUGGCACUCACUCGAGAGCAGGUUACAGCUUCAAGUCUGUAUAAAGUGUUGAGAUACCAGGCUUUGGAAAAUUAUAGCAUUCCAUUGUAUAAGAAACACGUGAAAUAUUUUUAGGGAGUUUAACACUUAUUAGCACUCUUAUCUUUCCACAGCAAAACCUUUGGUAACCAAAGCAACUGGUGUUAAAAUGUUGCGACUAAAGUAGGUUGUAUCAGCAUUUCUGUCAGCACUGCAUAACUCAAGGGGACUCAUAAAUCUGGUUGUGCCACCAGUGUCUUGUAGUUAAAUGUACUGUGGAUUUAGGUAUCUGGAAGAUCAUUUCACAAGUAUAAUUCCCACUGGCAGUGAGUGAGGGCUAGCUGCACUCCUGGCGUUCUGGUAUUGACAGGGGAAAGCUGUGGAGGUCCCGUUCCUGGAGGGAAUUUCUUCACCUGCCUCUACAGACAGCAUGUCCAUCCAAGUAGUUCCCAGGUAGAUGCUGUGUAGCUGUGUGACAUGGGCAGGUGAGAGAUACUGUCACAAUUCACUGGAGCAUGUCAGGUGUCCAAACAUUGCUCUGAGUAAGAGUGUCAAAGGUUCUAUUGUUAUUGUAGUUGAUUAGUUCUUUAAAGAAUUUUAAAACAGAAAAAUUAAUUCACUUGGUAACUGCUAACACAUUUUCUGACCACUUCUGAAUAGCUGAUGGCUACUGUCUUUGGACAUAAUAAUGGAGUUCAGGCAAGUUCACCAACAGGUGUAUCGGAAAACUUUAUGGAUGUAUAAAGAACAUGUGCUGUCCUCUGCUGAUGGUAUGUACUGGCCUUUGCAGCUUUCUGAAGGCAGAAGAUGCUUUAGUAAUGUCAUUUUAUAGACAAUACACACAAUAAACAUCCUCUGGUACUUCAAAGUUGGUAAAUCUACACCCUGAAUGAACAAUUACAAAUAUGCCCUGUGCUUUUAGCCUCCUGAUAUGCCUUAAAACUUCUAUAUCUUGGCUAGUUUCUGCCCUCCAACAAGUAGUUGGCAGGGAAGACUGGGAGCUGCUCUUCAGAAGCAAUGCUUUGCUUAAUGGAUCUGUCACUAGCAGGCUGCUCUGCAAAAAUUCCAUGUGAAUUAGGCAUGCAUGCCACCACCCUUGAGUACAUCUGAAUUCUGCUUAGGAGAGGGCAAGUGGAAAAAGAGUUUGAAAUGGCUUGGCUAUAGAGUCAUCACCCCUGGUUCAGACUCCAAAGAAGGUAAAGAAACCAGAUGCUUGGGGAACUCUGUUCUGUGGAGUUUAGGGCAUCUCAGCAGAAGCUCUUCUGAUGUAAAAUUGUGGAAAUAAUCACUGUAAGUAAGUUGCAACCUCAGAAAGAUAUAACACAUGAUAAGGUAAUGGGUGGCAAGAGAUAUACAGAAUGACCUGCAUAAAAUUGACUUUAGUUCCAUAGUUUUGAGUGCAUCAGAGAGCAAGGAGAGUGAGCCUAAGUUGACCAAAAAAUGAGGUGGGGGAAAGCUUUGUUAGUAGCCAGGUUGUUUAGGGGAAAACCAGACCUUUCCAGAGCAUUGUAUCACAUUAUAAUCAGUAUAGGCCAUUCUACACUAACAGUCUAAUCCUUCUGGAUGAGGAUACUCUGGCCAAGGCCUCAAGGGCUUUCACGGGCCUGAGCAGGUGGGGAAAGCUCCAGGACAGAUCUUUCUACAUAGCAUGCUUAUAGGAAGAAAACAGAGAUCUUUGCAGGUUCAUCAUCAUAACUUCCUUGUGUCAAAUAAUGCUAUUUAUUUACAAUCUCGUAUUUUGGCGGGGGAUGUUUGAGGCAUAAUGUGCUUUUUUCAGAGACAUUCUGUCACUUGGAAAAUACUGCAGUACCUUUCAAAAGCUAUUUUUGUCCAUUUAUAAACUGUUACAUUCAGCCUUUGCAGAAAAGAAAAUCAUCUGAUAUAUGAAAAGAACACGGUACUGCAUUUUCCUUUUUGAAUAAUAGAUGAACAUUUAUAGAUGAAAGCCCCUCCCAUUAGUUAAAUAAUAAAUAAAGAGUUGCACGACUUU